rnacentral:rRNA from 1 species
GGCGCACGGGUGAGUAACGCGUAUACAAUCUGCCUUGUACUGAGGGAUAGCCCAGAGAAAUUUGGAUUAAUACCUCAUAGCAUAUAGACUUCACCUGGAGAUUAUAUUAAAGGUUACGGUACAAGAUGAGUAUGCGUUCUAUUAGCUAGAUGGUAAGGUAACGGCUUACCAUGGCAACGAUAGAUAGGGGCCCUGAGAGGGGGAUCCCCCACACUGGUACUGAGACACGGACCAGACUCCUACGGGAGGCAGCAGUGAGGAAUAUUGGACAAUGGGCGAGAGCCUGAUCCAGCCAUGCCGCGUGCAGGAUGACUGCCCUAUGGGUUGUAAACUGCUUUUAUACAGGAAGAAACACUUCUUCGUGAGGGAGCUUGACGGUACUGUAAGAAUAAGGAUCGGCUAACUCCGUGCCAGCAGCCGCGGUAAUACGGAGGAUCCAAGCGUUAUCCGGAAUCAUUGGGUUUAAAGGGUCCGUAGGUGGAUAAUUAAGUCAGAGGUGAAAUCCUGCAGCUCAACUGUAGAAUUGCCUUUGAUACUGGUUAUCUUGAGUUAUUAUGAAGUAGUUAGAAUAUGUGGUGUAGCGGUGAAAUGCAUAGAUAUCACAUAGAAUACCAAUUGCGAAGGCAGAUUACUAAUAAUAUACUGACACUGAUGGACGAAAGCGUGGGGAGCGAACAGGAUUAGAUACCCUGGUAGUCCACGCCGUUUACGAUGGUUACU